rnacentral:rRNA from 1 species
UACAGAGGUCUCGAGCGUUGUUCGGAUUCAUUGGGCGUAAAGGGUGCGUAGGUGGCGUGGUAAGUCUGGUGUGAAAUCCCGGGGCUCAACCCCGGAACUGCACUGGAUACUGCCAUGCUUGAGUACUGGAGAGGAGAUUGGAAUUUACGGUGUAGCAGUGAAAUGCGUAGAUAUCGUAAGGAAGACCAGUGGCGAAGGCGAAUCUCUGGACAGUUACUGACACUGAGGCAGCGAAGGCCAGGGAGCAAACGGG